rnacentral:rRNA from 1 species
AGUCUGACCUGCCCAAUGAUGAUUUGAAUGGCUGCAGUAUCCUGACUGUACAAAGGUAGCAUAAUAAUUUGUUUUAUAAUUGAAGAAUGGAAUGAAUGGUUUAACAAGGGUAUAGCUGUCUCUUAUAUAUUUGUUUGAAGUUAAUUUUCAGGUUAAAAGGCUUGGAUUGAAUUAAAGGACGAGAAGACCCUAUUGAGCUUAAAUUAGCAAUAGGUUAGUAUAAUAUGGUUAAAAUUAAUUAUAGGGUUGUGUAGUUUUAGUUGGGGCGACUAGGGAAUAUAAGAAGCUUCCUUUUAUAAUUUAUAAAGUUGUUUGUUGAUCCAAUUUGUUUGAAUUAAGAUCAAGCUACCAUAGGGAUAACAGCGUUAUCUUUUUUGAGAGUUCUUAUCGAAAGAAAGGAUUGCGACCUCGAUGUUGGAUUAAGAUUUAAUAAAGGUUGUAGAAGCUUUUAUGAUUAGUCUGUUCGA